AGUGAACGCUGGCGGUAGGCCUAACACAUGCAAGUCGAACGGCAGCACAGUAAGAGCUUGCUCUUACGGGUGGCGAGUGGCGGACGGGUGAGGAAUACAUCGGAAUCUACUUUUUCGUGGGGGAUAACGCAGGGAAACUUACGCUAAUACCGCAUACGACCUACGGGUGAAAGCAGGGGAUCUUCGGACCUUGCGUGAUUGAAUGAGCCGAGGUCGGAUUAGCUAGUUGGCGGGGUAAAGGCCCACCAAGGCGACGAUCCGUAGCUGGUCUGAGAGGAUGAUCAGCCACACUGGAACUGAGACACGGUCCAGACUCCUACGGGAGGCAGCAGUGGGGAAUAUUGGACAAUGGGCGCAAGCCUGAUCCAGCCAUGCCGCGUGGGUGAAGAAGGUCUUCGGGUUGUAAAGCACUUUUGGUUGGGAGGAAAAGCAGCAAGUUAAUACCUUGCUGUUCUGACGGUACCAAAAGAAUAAGCACCGGCUAACUUCGUG
rnacentral:rRNA from 1 species